rnacentral:rRNA from 1 species
CCUACGGUUGGCAGCAGUAGGGAAUCUUUCACAAUGGGCGAAAGCCUGAUGGAGCAACGCCGCGUGCAGGAUGAAGGCCUUCGGGUUGUAAACUGCUUUUAUAAGCGAGAAAUAUGAUGGUAACUGAAGAAUAAGGAGCGGCUAACGACGUGCCAGCAGCCGCGGUCAUACGUAGGAUCCGAGCAUUAUCCGGAGUGACUGGGUGUAAAGAGUGGCGUAGGUGGCCUAAUAAGUAGCUAGUGCAAUCUGGUGGCUCACCCAUUCAGACUAUUAGCUAAACUGUUACGCUCGAUCCCGUUGGUGGUCACUGGAUUUUCUAGUGUAGGAGUGAAAUCCGUAGAUAUUAGAAGGAACACCACUAGCGUAGGCCGGUUGCUGGGACGGUUCUGACACUCCGGCACGACAGCGUAGGGAGCAAACGGGAUUAGAUACCCUUGUAGUC